AUCCUCUGGCGGCCCAUGAGCGUGACCAUUGGGCGUUCACGCUUUUGUGUGAGAUGUGCCUCCCUCAAACUUUGUUAUGACGUCGACACGUGACCCGUCUGAUG
ensembl:snoRNA